rnacentral:rRNA from 1 species
CCUACGGGAGGCAGCAGUGAGGAAUAUUGGUCAAUGGCCGGGAGGCUGAACCAGCCAAGUCGCGUGAGGGAAGACGGCCCUACGGGUUGUACACCUCUUUUGUCAGGGAGCAAGGUGCAGGUCGGGACCUGCUGUGAGAGUACCUGAAGAAAAAGCAUCGGCUAACUCCGUGCCAGCAGCCGCGGUAAUACGGAGGAUGCGAGCGUUAUCCGGAUUUAUUGGGUUUAAAGGGUGCGCAGGCGGAGGCACAAGUCAGCGGUAAAAUCGCGGGGCUCAACCCCGCUCCGCCGUUGAAACUGUGUCCCUUGAGUGCGCGAAGGGUAGGCGGAAUGCGUGGUGUAGCGGUGAAAUGCGUAGAUAUAUGGAAGAACACCAGUGGCGAAAGCGGCUCUCUGGUCUGUAACUGACGCUGAGGUUCGAAAGCGUGGGUAGCAAACAGGAUUAGAUACCCCUGUAGUC